GAGUUUGAUCCUAGCUCAGGAUGAACGCCGGCGGUGUGCCUAAUACAUGCAAGUCGUACGCACUGGCCCAACUGAUUGAUGGUGCUUGCACCUGAUCGACGAUGGAUCACCAGUGAGUGGCGGACGGUGAGUAACACGUAGGUAACCUGCCCUGUACAGGGGAUAACAAUCAGAAAUGACUGCUAAUACCGCAUAAGACCACAGCACCGCAUGGUGCAGGGGUAAAAACUCCGGUGGUACAGGAUGGACCCGCGUCUGAUUAGCUGGUUGGUGAGGUAACGGCUCACCAAGGCGACGAUCAGUAGCCGGCUUGAGAGAGUGAACGGCCACAUUGGGACUGAGACACGGCCCAAAACUCCUACGGGAGGCAGC
rnacentral:rRNA from 1 species